rnacentral:rRNA from 1 species
UAGCAGCCUGAUGGAGCACGCCGCGUGAGUGAAGAAGGUCUUCGGAUCGUAAAACUCUGUUGUUAGAGAAGAACAUGCAGGAGAGUAACUGUUCUUGUAUUGACGGUAUCUAACCAGAAAGCCACGGCUAACUACGUGCCAGCAGCCGCGGUAAUACGUAGGUGGCAAGCGUUGUCCGGAUUUAUUGGGCGUAAAGGGAACGCAGGCGGUCCUUUAAGUCUGAUGUGAAAGCCUUCGGCUUAACCGAAGAAUUGCAUUGGAAACUGGAGGACUUGAGUGCAGAAGAGGAGAGUGGAACUCCAUGUGUAGCGGUGAAAUGCGUAGAUAUAUGGAAGAACACCAGUGGCGAAAGCGGCUCUCUGGUCUGUAACUGACGCUGAGGUUCGAAAGUGUGGGUAGCAAACAGGAUUAGAUACC